UCAGCAGCCGCGGUAAUACAGAGGUCUCAAGCGUUGUUCGGAUUCAUUGGGCGUAAAGGGUGCGUAGGCGGCGCGGUAAGUCGGGUGUGAAAUCUCGGGGCUUAACUCCGAAACUGCAUUCGAUACUGCCGUGCUUGAGGACUGGAGAGGAGACUGGAAUUUACGGUGUAGCGGUGAAAUGCGUAGAUAUCGUAAGGAAGACCAGUGGCGAAGGCGGGUCUCUGGACAGUUCCUGACGCUGAGGCACGAAGGUCAGGGGAGCAAACGGGAUUAGAUACCCCGGUAGUCCUGACAGUAAACGGUGCACGUUUGGUGUGGGAGGAUUCGACCCCUUCUGCGCCGGAGCUAACGCGUUAAACGUGCCGCCUGGGGAGUACGGUCGCAAGAUUAAAACUCAAAGGAAUUGACGGGGGCCCGCACAAGG
rnacentral:rRNA from 1 species